AGCAGUGUGGCUUAGUGGAAAGAGCACGGGUUUGGGAUCAGAAACCAUGGGUUCUAAUCCCAGCUCUGCCU
rnacentral:tRNA from 1 species